rnacentral:rRNA from 1 species
UACGAAGGGGGCUAGCGUUGCUCGGAAUGACUGGGCGUAAAGGGUGCGUAGGCGGGUCUUUAAGUCAGGGGUGAAAUCCUGGAGCUCAACUCCAGAACUGCCUUUGAUACUGAGGAUCUUGAGUUCGGGAGAGGUGAGUGGAACUGCGAGUGUAGAGGUGAAAUUCGUAGAUAUUCGCAAGAACACCAGUGGCGAAGGCGGCUCACUGGCCCGAUACUGACGCUGAGGCACGAAAGCGUGGGGAGCAAACAGG